UACGUAGGGUGCAAGCGUUGUCCGGAAUUAUUGGGCGUAAAGAGCUCGUAGGCGGUUUGUCGCGUCUGCUGUGAAAAUCCAGGGCUUAACCCUGGACCUGCAGUGGGUACGGGCAGACUAGAGUGAUGUAGGGGAGACUGGAAUUCCUGGUGUAGCGGUGAAAUGCGCAGAUAUCAGGAGGAACACCGAUGGCGAAGGCAGGUCUCUGGGCAUUAACUGACGCUGAGGAGCGAAAGCAUGGGGAGCGAACAGG
rnacentral:rRNA from 1 species